rnacentral:rRNA from 1 species
GAUGAACGCUGGCGGCGUGCCUAAUACAUGCAAGUCGAGCGAACAGAUAAGGAGCUUGCUCCUUUGACGUUAGCGGCGGACGGGUGAGUAACACGUGGGUAACCUACCUAUAAGACUGGGAUAACUUCGGGAAACCGGAGCUAAUACCGGAUAAUAUUUAGAACCGCAGGGUUCGAUAGUGAAAGAUGGUUUUGCUAUCACUUAUAGAUGGACCCGCGCCGUAUUAGCUAGUUGGUAAGGUAACGGCUUACCAAGGCGACGAUACGUAGCCGACCUGAGAGGGUGAUCAGCCACACUGGAACUGAGACACGGUCCAGACUCCUACGGGAGGCAGCAGUAGGGAAUCUUCCACAAUGGGCGAAAGCCUGACGGAGCAACGCCGCGUGAGUGAUGAAGGUCUUCGGAUCGUAAAACUCUGUUAUUAGGGAAGAACAUACGUGUAAGUAACUGUGCACGUCUUGACGGUACCUAAUCAGAAAGCCACGGCUAACUACGUG